UCUUUACAGAAUCAGCUCAACUAACUGAGUGUCACAAUCAUACAGUUUAUGAGUUUAUUGAUCAGAAUCAAACACAAUAUCACAUUAUCAUCAUCAUAUCUGCUCUGAUGAACGGACUUCUGCUCAUUCUGCUGAUCGUUUCUGCUGUUGGAAAAACAGAACG
ensembl:lncRNA